rnacentral:rRNA from 1 species
UACGUAGGGGGCAAGCGUUAUCCGGAUCUACUGGGUGUAAAGGGAGCGCAGACGGUGAUGUAAGUCUGAAGUGAAACCCCACGGCUCAACCGUGGGCUUGCUUUGGAAACUAUAUGACUAGAGUACUGGAGAGGUAAGCGGAAUUCCUAGUGUAGCGGUGAAAUGCGUAGAUAUUAGGAGGAACAUCGGUGGCGAAGGCGGCUUACUGGACAGCAACUGACGUUGAGGCUCGAAGGCGUGGGGAGCAAACAGG